rnacentral:rRNA from 2 species
GGGGGGGGGGGGUACUAUACAUGCAAGUCGAGCGAACUGAUUAGAAGCUUGCUUCUAUGACGUUAGCGGCGGACGGGUGAGUAACACGUGGGCAACCUGCCUGUAAGACUGGGAUAACUUCGGGAAACCGAAGCUAAUACCGGAUAGGAUCUUCUCCUUCAUGGGAGAUGAUUGAAAGAUGGUUUCGGCUAUCACUUACAGAUGGGCCCGCGGUGCAUUAGCUAGUUGGUGAGGUAACGGCUCACCAAGGCAACGAUGCAUAGCCGACCUGAGAGGGUGAUCGGCCACACUGGGACUGAGACACGGCCCAGACUCCUACGGGAGGCAGCAGUAGGGAAUCUUCCGCAAUGGACGAAAGUCUGACGGAGCAACGCCGCGUGAGUGAUGAAGGCUUUCGGGUCGUAAAACUCUGUUGUUAGGGAAGAACAAGUACGAGAGUAACUGCUCGUACCUUGACGGUACCUAACCAGAAAGCCACGGCUAACUACGUGCCAGCAGCCGCGGUAAUACGUAGGUGGCAAGCGUUAUCCGGAAUUAUUGGGCGUAAAGCGCGCGCAGGCGGUUUCUUAAGUCUGAUGUGAAAGCCCACGGCUCAACCGUGGAGGGUCAUUGGAAACUGGGGAACUUGAGUGCAGAAGAGAAAAGCGGAAUUCCACGUGUAGCGGUGAAAUGCGUAGAGAUGUGGAGGAACACCAGUGGCGAAGGCGGCUUUUUGGUCUGUAACUGACGCUGAGGCGCGAAAGCGUGGGGAGCAAACAGGAUUAGAUACGGGGG